GAAAUAAGAGUGAGUCAGGCUAGCCAAGGAGACUGCCCAUAUGAGACCACUAGAAGCCUCAAUAUUUGCUGAUCCUUUAGAGAGGAUAUAGGCAAGUCAUCCUUGGCUACCAGAACUCAACCUUAUUG
rfam:Sorghum bicolor cultivar BTx623 chromosome 7, whole genome shotgun sequence.